GAUGAACGCUGGCGGCGUGCCUAAUACAUGCAAGUCGAGCGAACGGACGAGAAGCUUGCUUCUCUGAUGUUAGCGGCGGACGGGUGAGUAACACGUGGAUAACCUACCUAUAAGACUGGGAUAACUUCGGGAAACCGGAGCUAAUACCGGAUAAUAUUUUGAACCGCAUGGUUCAAAAGUGAAAGACGGUCUUGCUGUCACUUAUAGAUGGAUCCGCGCUGCAUUAGCUAGUUGGUAAGGUAACGGCUUACCAAGGCAACGAUGCAUAGCCGACCUGAGAGGGUGAUUGGCCACACUGGAACUGAGACACAGUCCAGACUCCUACAGGAGGCAGCAGCAGCGAAUCUUCCGCAAUGGGCGAAAGCCUGACGGAGCAACGCCGCGUGAGUGAUGAAGGUCUUCGGAUCGUAAAACUCUGUUAUUAGGGAAGAACAUAUGUGUAAGUAACUGUGCACAUAUUGACGGUACCUAAUCAGCAAGCAACGGCUAACUACGUG
rnacentral:rRNA from 1 species